UGGGGAAUCUUGGACAAUGGGGGCGAACCCUGAUCCAGCCAUGCCGCGUGAGUGAUGAAGGCCUUAGGGUCGUAAAGCUCUUUCGCCUGUGAAGAUAAUGACAGUACCUGGUAAAGAAACCCCGGCUAACUCCGUGCCAGCAGCCGCGGUAAUACGGAGGGGGUUAGCGUUGUUCGGAAUUACUGGGCGUAAAGCGCACGUAGGCGGACCAGAAAGUUGGGGGUGAAAUCCCGGGGGCUCAACCCCGGAACUGCCUCCAAAACUAUUGGUCUAGAGUUCGAGAGAGGUGAGUGGAAUUCCAAGUGUAGAGGUGAAAUUCGUAGAUAUUUGGAGGAACACCAGUGGCGAAGGCGACUCGCUGGUCCGGUACUGACGCUGAGGUGCGAAAGCGU
rnacentral:rRNA from 1 species